rnacentral:rRNA from 1 species
CAUUACCGAGUUUACAACUCCCAAACCCCUGUGAACAUACCUUAUGUUGCCUCGGCGGAUCAGCCCGCGCCCCGUAAAAAGGGACGGCCCGCCGCAGGAACCCUAAACUCUGUUUUUAGUGGAACUUCUGAGUAUAAAAAACAAAUAAAUCAAAACUUUCAACAACGGAUCUCUUGGUUCUGGCAUCGAUGAAGAACGCAGCAAAAUGCGAUAAGUAAUGUGAAUUGCAGAAUUCAGUGAAUCAUCGAAUCUUUGAACGCACAUUGCGCCCGCCAGUAUUCUGGCGGGCAUGCCUGUUCGAGCGUCAUUUCAACCCUCAAGCCCAGCUUGGUGUUGGGAGCUGCAGUCCUGCUGCACUCCCCAAAUACAUUGGCGGUCACGUCGAGCUUCCAUAGCGUAGUAAUUUACACAUCGUUACUGGUAAUCGUCGCGGCCACGCCGUUAAACCCCAACUUCUGAAUGUUGACCUCGGAUCAGGUAGGAAUACCCGCUGAACUUAAGCAUAUCAA